rnacentral:rRNA from 1 species
AUGAACGCUGGCGGCGUGCCUAAUACAUGCAAGUCGAGCGAACAGACGAGGAGCUUGCUCCUCUGGCGUUAGCGGCGGACGGGUGAGUAACACGUGGAUAACCUACCUAUAAGACUGGGAUAACUUCGGGAAACCGGAGCUAAUACCGGAUAAUAUAUUGAACCGCAUGGUUCAAUAGUGAAAGACGGUUUUGCUGUCACUUAUAGAUGGAUCCGCGCCGCAUUAGCUAGUUGGUAAGGUAACGGCUUACCAAGGCAACGAUGCGUAGCCGACCUGAGAGGGUGAUCGGCCACACUGGAACUGAGACACGGUCCAGACUCCUACGGGAGGCAGCAGUAGGGAAUCUUCCGCAAUGGGCGAAAGCUUGACGGAGCAACGCCGCGUGAGUGAUGAAGGUCUUCGGAUCGUAAAACUCUGUUAUUAGGGAAGAACAAAUGUGUAAGUAACUAUGCACGUCUUGACGGUACCUAAUCAGAAAGCCACGGCUAACUACGUG